AAAAAAUACAACUCCCAAAACCCUGUGAACAUACCAAUUGUUGCCUCGGCGGAUCAGCCCGCUCCCGGUAAAACGGGACGGCCCGCCAGAGGACCCCCAAACUCUGUUUCUAUAUGUAACUUCUGAGUAAAACCAUAAAUAAAUCAAAACUUUCAACAACGGAUCUCUUGGUUCUGGCAUCGAUGAAGAACGCAGCAAAAUGCGAUAAGUAAUGUGAAUUGCAGAAUUCAGUGAAUCAUCGAAUCUUUGAACGCACAUUGCGCCCGCCAGUAUUCUGGCGGGCAUGCCUGUUCGAGCGUCAUUUCAACCCUCAAGCCCAGCUUGGUGUUGGGACUCGCGAGUCAAAUCGCGUUCCCCAAAUCGAUUGGCGGUCACGUCGAGCUUCCAUAGCGUAGUAGUAAAACCCUCGUUACUGGUAAUCGUCGCGGCCACGCCGUUAAACCCCAACUUCUGAAUGUUGACCUCGGAUCAGGUAGGAAUACCCGCUGAACUUAAGCAUAUCAAUAAGC
rnacentral:rRNA from 1 species